rnacentral:rRNA from 1 species
UACGGGGGGGCAAGCGUUGUUCGGAAUUACUGGGCGUAAAGGGCUCGUAGGCGGCCAACUAAGUCAGACGUGAAAUCCCUCGGCUUAACCGGGGAACUGCCUCUGAUACUGGAUGGCUUGAGAUUGGGAGAGGGAUGCGGAAUUCCAGGUGUAGCGGUGAAAUGCGUAGAUAUCUGGAGGAACACCGGUGGCGAAGGCGGCAUCCUGGACCAACACUGACGCUGAGGAGCGAAAGCCAGGGGAGCAAACGGGG